rnacentral:rRNA from 1 species
CCUACGGGAGGCAGCAGUGGGGAAUAUUGCACAAUGGGGGAAACCCUGAUGCAGCGACGCCGCGUGAGUGAAGAAGUAAUUCGUUACGUAAAGCUCUAUCAGCAGGGAAGAAACACUGACCUUACGGUCAGCAGACGGUACCUGAGUAAGAAGCCACGGCUAACUACGUGCCAGCAGCCGCGGUAAUACGUAGGGGGCAAGCGUUAUCCGGAUUUACUGGGUGUAAAGGGAGCGUAGACGGUGGGCCAAGUCUGGAGUGAAAUGCCGCAGCUUAACUGCGGAACUGCUUUGGAAACUGGCGAACUAGAGUGCGGGAGGGGUAAGCGGAAUUCCUAGUGUAGCGGUGAAAUGCGUAGAUAUUAGGAGGAACACCGGUGGCGAAGGCGGCUUACUGGACCGUAACUGACGUUGAGGCUCGAAAGCGUGUGGAGCAAACAGGAUUAGAUACCCCUGUAGUC